CCCAAAAAUAUUCUGCAUAACAGCGUGUUUAUCAGGAGCUUACGGUCAAAUGCCUUUCUCCUUACUUGUAUACCGGUUCCGCUCCUCUUCGGAGGCAGGCAUAUCCCUUAUGCGUGCGUCAUGCGAUAGAAAACGAGACGAUAAGAAAUAGAGCGUGCACUUGCAUGCAUUACCCAGUCCGACGAAUAAAUGGCGGCGUAUACAACGGUGGACGAAAUGAGCGAUGAAUCACGCAUGGUGAGUUUAAGGAGAGGAUUUUUACAAAGCGCAAACGACAAUGGAAUAUCUAUCUUCCAGGAAGUAUACGCC